GCAGGACAUAACUCAGACAGAAGAGCAUAGGACUCUGAAUCUUAGGGUUGUGGGUUCAAAUCCCACAUGGGGGGGGAGCU